AGACCUUUAUAAACAUUGUGUCGGAAGGCCGGGUUGCCAGGGAUGUCUGUGAUAUAUACACUGCUUUAUUGUUCGGUUUAUCGGGCUGUCUUUAUGAAUGCAUUUACUGUUUCCUUUUUGAUUUAAUAAGUUUUAUCUUCACAGAAUCUACCUGAUGCUCUUACUAAGGAAUGGAUAAAUUACAAAGAAAAAUCUAGAAACCACGCACCAGGAAGUCCAACGCCUGUGGUGGUCAUGUCCUCACAACCACCUGAUGAAGGAGCAGCACUCUGAAAGCUACUGCUUCCAAACAUACCUGUUGGACUAUAACCUGGUGUGUGAUUUUUUUAAAACUUAGAACUCCAGGGAAAGUGUGUGUGGGGAGGGGUGUCUCAAAACCUAGAGGGCCCCCCGUGCUUGCUGUGACCUCCUGGUUAGACAGAACUUCUGUGUUUAUCUUCACUAAAACAAGCACGUUUGAAAACUCGCCUCCUUUCAGCUCUGGAGACUUCAAAAGCACUGUCAAGAACGUGG